CCCUUAGAUGUUCUGGGCCGCACGCGCGCUACACUGACGAAGUCAGCGAGCAUGUCCUACGCCGACAGGUGCGGGGAAUCUUGUCAAACUUCGUCGUGAUGGGGAUUGAUUAUUGAAAUUCUUGAUCAUCAACGAGGAAUUCCUAGUAAGCGCAAGUCAGCAGCUUGCGUUGAUUACGUCCCUGCCCUUUGUACACACCGCCCGUCGCUACUACCGAUUGAAUGGUUUAGUGAGGCCUUCGGAUCCGCGACUCGUUUUGUGGAGAAGUUGGACAAACUCAGUCAUUUAGAGGAAGUAAAAGUCGUAACA
rnacentral:rRNA from 1 species